CGCUGGCGGCAGGCUUAACACAUGCAAGUUGAGCGGGAUUGUUUGGUAGCUUGCUAUCAAGCAUGAGAGCAGCGCACUGGUGAGUAACACGUGGGAACAUACCUUUUGGUGGGGGACAACAGUUGGAAACGACUGCUAAUACCGCAUAAGCCCUAAGGGGGAAAGAUUCAUUGCCGAAAGAUUGGCCCGCGGAAGAUUAGGUAGUAGGUGGGGUAACGGCCUACCUAGCCGACGAUCUAUAGCUGGUCUGAGAGGACGAUCAGCCACAUUGGAACUGAGACACGGUCCAGACUCCUACGGGAGGCAGCAGUGAGGAAUAUUGGGCAAUGGAGGCAACUCUGACCCAGCCAUGCCGCGUGAGUAAAGAAGGUUUUCGGAUUGUAAAGCUCUUUCAGACGGGAAGAUGAUGACGGUACCGUCAGAAGAAGCACCGGCUAACUUCGUGCCAGCCGCCGC
rnacentral:rRNA from 1 species